ACGCGUGGGAAUCUGCCCAGUAGUGGGGGAUAACUUGGGGAAACUCAAGCUAAUACCGCAUACGCCCCAUGGGGGAAAGAGGGGGAUCCUUCGGGACCUCUUGUUUCUGGAUGAGCCGACGUCGGAUUAGCUUGUUGGUGGGGUAAUGGCCUACCAAGGCGACGAUCCGUAGCUGGUCUGAUAGGACGACCUGACACACUGGGACGGAAACACGGCCCAGACUCCUACGGGAGGCAAGGUGGGGAAUAUUGGACAAUGGGCGAAAGCCUGAUCCAGCAAUGCCCCGUGUGUGAAGAAGGCCUGAGGGUUGUAAAGCACUUUCAAUUGGGAAGAAAAGCUUAAGGUUAAUAACCUUAGGUCUUGACGUUACCUUUACAAGAAGCACCGGCUAAAUC
rnacentral:rRNA from 1 species